UGCAGCCAUGCCGCGUGUAUUGAAGAAGGCCUUCGGGUUGUAAAGACUUUCAGCAGUGAGGAAGGUGGGUAUGUUAAUAGCAUAUUCAUUUGACGUUUAGCUGCAGAAGAAGCACCGGCUAACUCCGUGCCAGCAGCCGCGGUAAUACGGAGGGGUGCGAGCGUUUAAUCGGAAUUACUGGGGCGUAAAAGCGCAUGCAGGUGGUUUGUUAAGUCAGAUGUGAAAAGCCCGGGGCUCAACCUCGGAAUUGCAUUUUGAAAACUGGCAAACUAGAGUACUGUAGAGGGGGGUAGGAAUUUCAGGUGUAGCGGUGAAAUAGCGUAGAGAUCUGAAGGAAUACCGGUGGCGAAGGCGGCCCCCUGGACAGAUACUGACACUCAGAUGCGAAAGACGUGGGGAGGCAAACAGGAUUAGAUACCCUGGUAG
rnacentral:rRNA from 1 species